rnacentral:rRNA from 1 species
UACGGGGGGAGCAAGCGUUGUUCGGAUUUACUGGGCGUAAAGGGCGCGUAGGCGGCGUAACAAGUCACUUGUGAAAUCUCCGGGCUUAACUCGGAGCGGUCAAGUGAUACUGUUGUGCUAGAGUGCGGAAGGGGCUACUGGAAUUCUCGGUGUAGCGGUGAAAUGCGUAGAUAUCGAGAGGAACACCUGCGGCGAAGGCGGGUAGCUGGGCCGACACUGACGCUGAUGCGCGAAAGCUAGGGGAGCAAACAGG